rnacentral:rRNA from 1 species
UACGUAGGGUGCAAGCGUUAAUCGGAAUUACUGGGCGUAAAGCGUGCGCAGGCGGUUUUGUAAGUCUGUCGUGAAAGCCCCGGGCUCAACCUGGGAAUUGCGAUGGAGACUGCAAGGCUUCAAUCUGGCAGAGGGGGGUAGAAUUCCACGUGUAGCAGUGAAAUGCGUAGAGAUGUGGAGGAACACCGAUGGCGAAGGCAGCCCCCUGGGUCAAGAUUGACGCUCAUGCACGAAAGCGUGGGGAGCAAACAGG